UUGAACAUUAUAAAGAAUUCCACAGUUGCAGACAGUUAAACGUGUCUUUUUUAGUUUGUGGGUCUGAAAGGAGAGACAUGACAUCAGCAUUUGGAGCGACUGCAUCUGUCCCAGACACUUCUGUCCAAAGCUGCGUAGAUCUGAGAGUGAGGACAACACAGAAGAAACAACAUGACCUCUUUGACUCCAUCCUGGCUCCAUGUUACACCAUCAGCAUCACCUACAGGGAGACGGAGAAGCAGCGUCAGUGUGUGUGCUGUUGAGGGACAGACCCAGCAGAGAGUCAGGUGUGUGUGGAUGUAAAAACAUAGACUGCUUGAUUUGAAAACUGUACAUCUCCAGGAAGUCUACUUUUGAGGAGAAACAGUGAAAACUUAGUGUUCCCUUUGAGCUUUUUCACUUGAAAAACACACAUUUGUGGAAAUAUAGGAUGUGUUUUGUUUACUGCACUGGUAUGUUGUGCUUUUUUAACUAUGAACCUUAGAAAAAUAUGUAAAAAUACAGCUAAUACAUAAAGAUGCAGCAAAAGGGUGUAUGUAGUUAAAUCAAACCAAUGUCCUUACACACACACAUGCAAAAAUUCAAUCAUGUCUCUGCCGCUGCCUGAGGGAGACACAGUGUGGAAACCCCACUAUAGUGGAAAAUCACCUUUUCCAUGUUAUUUUACA